UCCCCAUUUCCCUUCUCGUCACUUUUUUUUUUCUGCCACCUUCUCAUUCCUACUUCUUUCUUAAACCGACACCCUUCCCACUUUCCUUUUCCUUUUCCUUUCUUCUUCUUCUUCUUCUUCUUCUUCUUCGAGCGAUAGCAGCACCGGCACCACCUUCACCAUCUUCUUCCUCCUUCUUGUAAUUGUUGGUGUAAACAAACUAAGGAGGCGACUUUAUCGAAGAGCCCUUCUAGUAAUCGCGGGGUAGCAGAUUUGACCUCUUGAAGCGUUCUUUUUGCUGAUUACAGGUCGCGGUCGGGAAUAAUCGGGUUAGCAAUGUUGAUGAGAGUGCUAAGGAUGUCCUUUUGAGCUGAGGCCGUGGAAGCUUAUAGUUUGUAUUAGGAAUUUGUUAAAUGUAUAAUAGUUCUGAUUAGUUUUGAUUAUGUUUAGAUUAGAUAUUUGAUUUGAAAUUUAGCUCUGUUGGUUUUGUUAUAGAGCUGGUGAUCCCUUUGCCCAGA